GGGGCUGUAGCUUAAUGGUAAAGCGCUUCUCUCUUUAGACGACACACACAACGACCCACAUACAACUGGCUAGAGCCCUGGGAGAGAAGAGAUGAUGGUUCGAUUCCGUCCUGCUCCA
rnacentral:tRNA from 1 species